AAGGCCUUAGCUUAAUUAAAGCAUUUGAUUUGCAUUCAUAUUAUGUGGAAUAGAGUUCCGCAGGUCUUA
rnacentral:tRNA from 1 species